rfam:Picea glauca, whole genome shotgun sequence.
GACUCUCGACAACGGAUAUCUCAGCUCUUGUCACGAUGAAGAACGUAGCGAAAUGCGAUACUUAGUGUGAAUUGCAGAAUCCCGUGAAUCAUCAAGUUUUUGAACGCAAUUUGCGCCCGAGGCCUCUGUCGAGGGCACCUCUGUCUGGGCGUCG